UACGGAGGAUGCGAGCGUUAUCCGGAUUUAUUGGGUUUAAAGGGUGCGUAGGCGGAUCGUUAAGUCAGUGGUCAAAUUGGGGGGCUCAACCCCUUCCCGCCAUUGAAACUGGCGAUCUUGAGUGGAAGAGAAGUAUGCGGAAUGCGUGGUGUAGCGGUGAAAUGCAUAGAUAUCACGCAGAACCCCGAUUGCGAAGGCAGCAUGCCGGCUUCCUACUGACGCUGAAGCACGAAAGCGUGGGGAUCGAACAGG
rnacentral:rRNA from 1 species